rnacentral:lncRNA from 1 species
UCCAAGAUCUCCUUCCCGAUUAAGUUAAGCUCUCAACACCCAUGUUUGGGAAAUCUAUGGCUGAGAAAUACCAAUAUUCUUACUACUAUACCACACUUGAAAUAAAAAUACAAGAUUAUCAAAAGAAUGAUAGACAUGAGAAACUUGUAAACUCUUAAGUGCUCGUGGAAUUGUGCAGACUUGACGCAACUAGCUUUAAUGACAGUUUUGCUUAUAACCACUCAACUUCCUUUGCUCAGACUCUGUAUUAUUUUCCCUAGAUAGAUUUCUCCCCCUUGGUAAGAGAAUGUACUGCCAAUCAACAUGGCUGCUUGUCAGUUCUACUUCUUGGUAAGACUUUUAGUUUUGUGAUUUUCUCCAAGGUGGACCACUUACCAGAAAACCAACAAAAAACCAAAUUGGGCACUGCACACCAGACCCUUGGGAGGCACCAUUCCACAAAACCCACUCAACUAGGGCCUCCAGUGAGGCCCUAUUCUGAGCCAGUCAAUUUGCCUUGAAUCAUUUUGUCCCUUAUGAUCUGGAGUUGCUCGCCUAUAUUCUCUUUUUGCAACUAUAGAAGGCAGUCUAGAUCAAGGAUCUCAACCUAGUCUGCAUGUGAGAAUCACCGGCUGGAAUUAGGGGUGAGAAUGCGUAAAGGGCUUUACAAAAAUUACUGAUGCCUACCCAAAGCAAUUAAAUCAUAAUCUCCAUAAAGUAACACUCAGGCACUAAUAUUUUUUAAAGCUUCUCAGUGAUUCCAAUUCGCAGUCAAGUUUAAGUAUCACUGGUCUAGGUAAUGCCAGAUGGACAGUGGCAUUGUUGCAAGCCAAGACUAGUAGAAGCUGGGAAAAAAAAACUGCCCAUGGCCGGGUUUUCUUUGGCCCACAUUUAAUUAAGAGAAUUCACAUGAAGUCUGGAUUUCACAGGCUCCUCUCAGAGCCCAUCUACUCCAGGGUACUCUAUUUCUAAAAUAUUUACUUGGCUCUUGUUGACAUUUCAGUUUGAGACUCCUGGAUUACUUGAGACCCCUGAAUUACUAUGGUAAUAAGGUUGUUGUGGUAUUGAUAGAGCUGCUACAUAUCAAUGUGUGACUGAUAUACAAACUUUAACUGGCUCCUACCCUGAAAAUAGUCCUAAAUAAGCAUAUCUGUGGCCCUAAAUGAUAGCCUGAAAACUGCUUUUCGCACAUAACUCAUAUUAUUUUUUCCCAUCCUAAAUGCUACCGCCUAGAGAAAGGUCAACAAUAGUUGCCUUAAAAAUUGGACUCAACUCCACACAAAAGCAAAAACUAAAAACCUAAAAGUUGUCUGUUUACUCCCCUGGUAGGCACUAUUUGAUUGAUAUCCAACUGAGUAUUUCUGAGUUGGCUAUUUGAUCUUGGGUAACUACAGAAGCAAAAUCCCUAAAAUAAACCAGAUAUAACCAACUUUAUCCCCAAAGAUAUAUGAAAAAUCUGAGGGGCCCACUUAUCUUCCUGUUUCUGAAGGAGCCAAAAUUUUCUCAUAAAACUCACUGCUUAUCAUCUUUUUAAAGCCUCAAAGGCUGAGAUCCAAUGGAUAUGGGAUGUUCUGUGCAUCCUGUAACAAUUUCCUGCAGACUAUCCAAAAUUCUUUACAAUGGAAAUUCAUUUGAAUAACUAAACCAACAACUGCAAAUUACUUGGGUACUAUUAAGCAAAUCAUACUAAACCACUUAUUCUCAACUACUGUGUUGCAAACUGCAACAAAUGAAAGAUCAGAGAUAGUAUAGAGCAACCUCUAACAGUAGCAGUGAUAGGCAUUUAUAAUAGUCUUUAAUGUGGUUUAAAAGUACAAUAU